rnacentral:rRNA from 1 species
AUACGGAGGUGCAAGCGUUGUCCGGAAUUAUUGGGCGUAAAGAGCAUGUAGGCGGAGAUUUAAGUCUGUUGUGAAAAUGCGGGGCUCAACCCCGUAUUGCGAUGGAAACUGAAUUUCUUGAGUGCAGGAGAGGAAAGGGGAAUUCCCAGUGUAGCGGUGAAAUGCGUAGAUAUUGGGAGGAACACCAGUGGCGAAGGCGCCUUUCUGGACUGUGUCUGACGCUGAGAUGCGAAAGCGUGGGUAGC